GCCUCUGUGGCGUAAUUGGCUAGCGCGUUCGGCUGUUAACCGGAAGGCUGGUGGUUCGAUCCCACCAAGGGGCG
rnacentral:tRNA from 1 species